CUGGCCGCUGCCUCAGGGCCGGGGCCGCCGCCCGCCACCACCCCAGGGCCCGGAAUGGCCGCCGCCACCCGCGGCCAAUGGGCCUCAGCCGCUGAGCGGGGAACCAACCUGUGAGGGGCGUCGUGGGGGUUUAAGGAGCCUCUGUCUCCUCCAAACCCAAGCUCUUAGCGUUAUACCUUGAGGGAAAUUAGCCGUUUCUCGUAAAUAACUUGAUUGCACCAGACUACAAAGGCAGAGCAAAGAAGGAUCACUGGUACCUGGCAAAACAAGGAGGCUUCAUAUCUUUCCCACCAACGCAGCCUAGGGCAACCACGCUGUACGCCUAUUGCAAAAGGGUUCGCUGUCGGCAAUCCCUGGGCGGGCUCUGCUCUACCAGUCCUGUGAAGAAAGCAGGAUUACCAGGAGCGAGAAGUAUGAUUGCUGCAGCUGCUGCAAACACCGCGAGGGAAUAAGGCCCUGACUCGGAGAGCUUUGUGCCAGAGAAGUCUGGCAUUGACUAUCCUAUCCAUAACCUUGAUACCGAAACCAUUAUGAAACACCAGUGAUAAGAAUACACAGCAACCAAGGAUUCACAGCUGCUAAGAUUUGAUAGUGACUGGAGUGACAACCAGGAUGGAGGUCAGUGAUGGAUGACUAGCUGAAGAACACAACAGGAGAAGGAGGGCUUGUAGAAGGAGAUUUAUCAGAACACUAAGGAAUCUCUUGAAAGCUGUAAUGUUUCCAUCAGACAACAUGAGACUGAAAGCUCAGGACUACCACAGGUAAGAAAAUCAGGCACAUGUUUAUGUCUUGCUUAAGUAAUGCUUGGCACCUGCCACUAUAAUGCUUAAGUCACUGUGAUCAGAGACAAAGUCCUCUCGGACCUCAUUUCAAAUACAAGAGCUGUAAAUCCUAUCCCUCAGUUCAGUCAAUGGCUUAACUCCCGUCACUAAGGUGAAAUCACCCAUGGGAGGCUUCCAUCUGAAAUGAACGGGACAUGCGCUCUUUGCAGACCAUGCAGUACAUGCCACGGUAUUACUGGAACAGAAAUUUGAUACAAAUUACUGUUAUUAAUGAAAUGCUUGGUGUUACAGUAGAAGAAAACCACUUAAAUGGCAGUUAUUCUUAUUUUCUCUUAAAAGUUGGAGAAAAACAUUUAGAUUUAGACGCCUCUUCUUGAUUUCAUGUCGUUAAACAGAAAUAAUGCCAAUUCUGUAGAAACUUUCCCCAUUUGCCAUGAACUCAGUUAGUUUCUUUAAUUCCACUGAGCUCUACAAUAUGAAGAUAGUAGAUAAUAUGGCCUUAAGGACAAAUGUUAUUCCAUUAUAUAAAAUCUGGAUGUUAUUCCAAUACACAAAAACUGAAAGAGGAAAAGCUAAAAACAGUGUAUUAUGCCGGUUGUUGUGCUAAAAAUCUUGACAGACAUGGAAUAUUGAUUAAAUUUAGCAGCAUAACUUGGCAGGAACAAGAAUGGGUGGUUCAAAAUGGCUCUAAGAACUCUGAACAAGGAUG